AUGAAGUUAAUAUGUUGCAACUCAUUCUUUGGAGCACGUGCACUAGAGCCAUGGGACUAUUUUGUAUACCUUGAAAAGUUGGAAUCAUCUGGAAUAUUGGAGGAAAUCAAAAGUAUCCUGGUAACAUUUACCGACUAUAAAUCUGUAUUGGCUCAUGAUACUGAAAAUAGAGUGUUGUGUACACUAUUCCAGAGAGAAGUAAAGGACGGGCGAGAGAGCCUCAUGGUGAAAGUCGAGAAAGAGCAUUACAUCCAUGAAAAAGAUUUGUGGAUUGAAAAUGAAGAAUUUUUCAGUUAUUCAAUCAAAAAGCACUCGACAAAUCUACCGUCAGUUGCUAUUGUCUAA
rnacentral:rRNA from 1 species